AGAGUUUGAUCCUGGCUCAGGAUGAACGCUAGCGGCAGGCUUAACACAUGCAAGUCGAAGGGCAGCGAGGGGAGUGCUUGCACUCCCUGUCGGCGACUGGCGCACGGGUGAGUAACACGUAUGCAACCUGCCCUCCACAGGGGGACAACCUUCCGAAAGGGAGGCUAAUCCCGCGUAAAUCCCCUGGAGGCAUCUCCGGGGGAGGAAUACUCCGGUGGUGGAGGAUGGGCAUGCGGCGCAUUAGGCAGUCGGCGGGGUAACGGCCCACCGAACCGACGAUGCGUAGGGGUUCUGAGAGGAAGGUCCCCCACACUGGUACUGAGACACGGACCAGACUCCUACGGGAGGCAGCAGUGAGGAAUAUUGGUCAAUGGACGCGAGUCUGAACCAGCCAAGCCGCGUGAAGGAUUAAGGCCCUACGGGUCGUAAACUUCUUUUGUCAGGGAACAAAAGUGGGGACGAGUCCCCAUCUGCGUGUACCUGAAGAAAAAGCAUCGGCUAACUCCGUGCCAGCAGCCGCGGUAAUACGGAGGAUGCGAGCGUUAUCCGGAUUUAUUGGGUUUAAAGGGUGCGCAGGCGGUCUGUUAAGUCAGCGGUAAAAGCCCGGGGCUCAACCCCGGCGAGCCGUUGAAACUGGCGGACUAGAGAGGAAGGGAAGUAGGCGGAAUGCGCGGUGUAGCGGUGAAAUGCUUAGAUAUCGCGCAGAACUCCGAUUGCGAAGGCAGCCUACCGGCUUCUAUCUGACGCUCAGGCACGAAAGCGUGGGUAUCGAACAGGAUUAGAUACCCUGGUAGUCCACGCAGUAAACGAUGAAUGCCGGCUGUCCGGCCCGAUUGGGGGCUGGGUGGCGAAGCGAAAGCGAUAAGCAUUCCACCUGGGGAGUACGCCGGCAACGGUGAAACUCAAAGGAAUUGACGGGGGCCCGCACAAGCGGAGGAACAUGUGGUUUAAUUCGAUGAUACGCGAGGAACCUUACCCGGGCUCAAACGCCGAAGGGACAUUCCCCCGAAAGGGGAUUGGCCAGCAAUGGUCUUCGGCGAGGUGCUGCAUGGUUGUCGUCAGCUCGUGCCGUGAGGUGUCGGCUUAAGUGCCAUAACGAGCGCAACCCCCACCGACAGUUGCUAACUGGUCAAGCAGAGGACUCUGUCGGGACUGCCGGCGCAAGCUGCGAGGAAGGCGGGGAUGACGUCAAAUCAGCACGGCCCUUACGUCCGGGGCGACACACGUGUUACAAUGGCAGGUACAGCGGGAUGCCAUGGGGCGACCCAGAGCGGAACCCGAAAACCUGUCUCAGUUCGGAUUGGAGUCUGCAACCCGACUCCAUGAAGCUGGAUUCGCUAGUAAUCGCGCAUCAGCCACGGCGCGGUGAAUACGUUCCCGGGCCUUGUACACACCGCCCGUCA
rnacentral:rRNA from 1 species